UUAUGUUCAUCUCGCAAAAAUAAAUGAAGCGCAAGCGGAGCGGGUACGAUAAAAAAAGCCCUCCAACUCUCUGCUUGCUCCGAUCCGAGCCCUCACAGUCGCAGGUUUUUUCAUCAAUUCCCCUCUCUCAGUAGUUACAUUUGGUUCUACACUGGUUUUUGUGAGUAAUUUGCACUGGAAAAAGAUAACCAGAUGCAGUCACAAGAGAAACCUCCGUCAGAGCAUACAACAAUGGAGCCGCGAAAUUAUGAAAUUUUUCCACUCUCAGACAAACCGUUCCAUGGUGUUAUUCUUGCAAAAUCGCAUGUCGCUCCCAUUUAUAAUAUGACUUUGCCAGCCAAAUUUCAUUCUGUUUUACCUGCUAUUGUGAUCCAUGGGGUUCUUUACUGUGGGGGCAAGGAAUGGACAGUAGAUUACUAUGGAAACCGACGCGGUAAGUCACUUGAUACGAGACAUUGGAGGAAGUUUGUGAAUGAUAAUCAUCUAAAGUCUGGAGAUGCUUGUGUAUUUGAGCUCAUGGAAUGUAGCAGCAGCACACUCAAAUUCAGAGUUCAAAUUCUCAGAGGUGACAUCCCUGUCCAGCUGCACGACAAGUUCAGCGGGGAGAGUAAAGACACCCCUAUAAAAAUUGACUAGCUGCCCCUUAUUUCUAUGGCUUGUGAACACGAUAUAUAUGCUUUUGGAAUCAGAUCGAGUCUGGUCACUACAACUGAAACCCCCUUUGUGAGGAGGCACCCUUUCUCUUGAAGUUACGGGGCUGGCUCAGUUUGCCGAAUUAGAAGCCGUUGCACAAUUCGAAGGCAUCUUUAAAUACUCAAAGUUUCAUAUCAGAAGCAAUUUUUCAAGAAACUACUCGAGUUUUAGCAAAAGCCGCCCUCUAAGGAUAGACGUAACGCUUUAGCCAGUAUACGGAAGUGCAUACCAUGAUUCUUCUGUCAAUCAACAACGACAUGUCAAACUGAUUUGAUAUAGCUUCUCAAAGAGCCUCACAUUGGUGUUCUCUCUCCCAUUCAUUCUUGGGUUACAAUUCAAUAGAUAUUUGCUUGAAUUGGAAAACUUUUAUUUUUUCUGAUUAGUUAGUGUUUUCUAGCUUAAUUAUUGGCUUUGUUGUUAAAUGUUAGCUUAGUUUUUUCUUUGUAUUUCUUCACCAUUUUCAUUACUUCAAUGAAAUCUCUCGUUUCGUGUUAAACAAAAAAUGAUAGCAAGAACUAAUUCCAUUUGUUGGUUACAAAAUUCAAACACUUCAGAAUAUUAUCAUCUUGAAUAUUUUGUUAGAUACAGUAGUUUAGUCUAACCAAUAUGGUUCUGUUGCUGCAACCAAAUGAUGCUUCCUCAUGCAUUAUGCUCUACCCGUGUUGUCUUCUUUAUGCCAAUUCCGACAGAGUAUAUAGUAAAUAUGUAAAUCCAUUUUUCAUCAUUAGUUAUUUCGUCAUGCGACCCACAUCUCUUCUCCAUAUUGUUUAAAUCUAGAUGUCAGUAAAUCUCGAUUUACCUGUUCCAGAUUGUCCCAGCAUCAUCAUCAUCGUCGUCAUCUUGCUUUGAUAUGUCAUUAUUUGACAUUGUUUCUGAUUUUGGUGU